AACGAACGCUGGCGGCAUGCCUAACACAUGCAAGUCGAACGAAACCUUCGGGCCUAGUUGCGCAGGUCUGCUUACCACCUGGUAACUUACCCUUAGGUUCGGUAUACCUCCCCUAAGGGUGUCUUCAUACCGCUUAGUCUCUUCGGACCUAAGAUUUAUCGCGUUUGGAUGGGCCCGCGUUGGUUUCGCUGGUUGGUAGGGUAAUAGCCUAGCAAGGCGACGUUCCAUAGCUGGUCUGUGAGCAGGAUCAGCCACACUGGGACUGAGACACGGCCCAGACUGGUACGGGAAGGAGGAGUGGGGAAUAUUGGACAAUGGGCGAAAGUCUGAUCCAGCAAUGCGGGGUGAGAGAUGAAGGCGUUAGGGUUGUAAAGCUCUUUGACCCGGGAUGAUAAUGACAGUACCGGGAGAAUAAGCACCGGCUAACUCCGUG
rnacentral:rRNA from 1 species